GACGAACGCUGGCGGCGUGCUUAACACAUGCAAGUCGAACGGAAAGGCUCCAGCUUGCUGGAGUCCUCGAGUGGCGAACGGGUGAGUAACACGUGGGUAAUCUGCCCUGCACUCUGGGAUAAGCCUGGGAAACUGGGUCUAAUACUGGAUAUGACCUUUCUCCUUAUGGGGUUUGGUGGAAAGUUUUUCGGUGUAGGAUGAGCCCGCGGCCUAUCAGCUUGUUGGUGGGGUGAUGGCCUACCAAGGCGACGACGGGUAGCCGGCCUGAGAGGGUGAUCGGCCACAUCGGGACUGAGAUACGGCCCAGACUCCUACGGGAGGCAGCAGUGGGGAAUAUUGCACAAUGGGCGGAAGCCUGAUGCAGCGACGCCGCGUGAGGGAUGACGGCCUUCGGGUUGUAAACCUCUUUCAGCAGGGACGAAGCGUAAGUGACGGUACCUGCAGAAGAAGCACCGGCUAACUAUGUG
rnacentral:rRNA from 1 species